GUUGUAGUUCAGUCUUUAGGUGCGUAUGGGUUCGUGACUCACGUGCUUCUCCGUUCUGCAUCAAAUUUCCAUCCAUUAGAGGGUGAAAGUUGUUCUCUCGAGCCUUCGCUAGAGCCGAGGUUUCUCUCUCUCUCGAUCUAUCAGAUAUUCAUGGAGGAUCUUGCUGUGACCUGCCCUGCCCAAUUCCAAACCAUUGCUCCUUCCUUUCAGCAACCCCUCCAAACCGUUGAUACCUACGACUUCAAUUCGCCGCUUCAGUCUCAGCAAACCCUGGAAGCUCAACAACGGCCUCUAGCUUCGGACUCCCAUGAUUCUCUGCCGCCUCCGCCGCCCGAAACCCUAGUAGAGUACCCUGCCCCUCCAUCCUCUUCAGAAACCCUAGCUCCUUCCGGAGGCUGCGAGCACGACGAGGAAGGUCAGGCGCCGCGUUUGGACGGUGUUGAUAAGCCUUUGAUAUCGGACACUAGCCUUCUGAAGACCCACAGUGGAACCGACAGGGAUUGCUCGGGAGGGGAGGAGGAGACGAGUAGCCGUCGUCGCCGGCGCAGCCGGUGGGACACCGACUCUUCAGAACAGAACACCAGUGAUGGUACAGGCACCGGACGGAAGAGAAAGUCCCGGUGGGCUGACGAUGUGCCUCCGCCUGUGGUUCAGCUCCCAGAUUUCAUGAAGGAUUUCACUGCAGACCUUGACCCUGAUGUACAAUCGCUGAAUUUUAGACUACUUGACAUCAAUCGAAAGCUCCAGUCAGGACUUCCUUUAGAUGAUAGGCCUGAAGGUGCACGGUCACCCUCCCCGGAGCCGAUCUAUGACAGCAUGGGUAUCAGGAUAAAUACUAGAGAGUAUCGGGCUAGAGGAAAGCUGAUGACAGAGAGGCAGGAGAUCAUCUCAAAGCUGAUUCAGAAGAAUCCGGCCUUCCGUCCGCCUGCAGACUAUCGGCCUCCCAAGCUUCAGAAAAAGCUAUAUAUUCCCAUGAAGGAAUACCCAGGCUAUAAUUUUAUUGGGCUCAUCAUUGGGCCAAGGGGAAACACUCAGAAAAGAAUGGAAAAGGAAACUGGUGCCAAGAUUGUUAUUCGAGGAAAGGGGUCAGUGAAGGAAGGCAGGCUGCAGCAGAAGAGAGAUCUGAAACACGACCCUGCAGAGAAUGAGGAUCUUCAUGUCUUGGUUGAAGCUGAAACUCAAGAGGCCCUUGAUAAGGCAGCAGACAUGGUGGAGAAGCUCCUGCAGCCCGUUGAUGAAGUUCUGAAUGAGCACAAGAGACAGCAGCUUAGAGAGCUUGCAGCCCUCAAUGGCACCAUCAGGGAUGAUGAGUUUUGCAGGCUGUGUGGUGAGCCAGGCCACAGGCAGUUUGCUUGCCCAGCUCGCACUUCAACUUUUAAGAGUGAUGUUCUUUGCAAGAUUUGUGGUGAUGGAGGUCACCCAACAAUUGAUUGUCCAAUGAAAGGAUCUGGGACUGGAAAUAAGAUGGAUGAUGAGUACAAGAAUUUCUUAGCUGAACUUGGAGGAUCUGGACCUGAAUCCUUAACAAAGCAGGGGAUAACAUUAUCUAUUGCAGGUUCAAAUUCCGGAAAUAAUCCUCCUUGGGUUGGUGGUAGCUCUGCUGGGAGUGCACUGGCUAACGGGGUAAAGAAGGAAUAUGAUGAGACUAAUUUGUAUAUCGGUUACCUGCCACCUAAUCUAGAUGAUGAUGGCUUGAUCAGAUUGUUUGCUUCUUUUGGUGAUAUUGUUAUGGCUAAGGUUAUCAAGGAUAAGAUUACUGGCCUUAGUAAAGGUUAUGGUUUUGUGAAAUAUUCAGAUGUGUCUAUGGCUAACCAGGCAAUAUCUAGCAUGCAUGGAUAUCAUCUGGAAGGGAGGACUAUAGCUGUGAGAGUAGCUGGCAAGCCGCCUCAGCCUGCUGUGCCCCCAGGUCCUCCAGCUCCAUCACCUACACCUACUUAUCCUGCACCCUAUGGAGCAAAUGGUGGUUAUCCAUUACAGCAGCCUUAUAUGGCUGGACCCAUGGAAAAUGCCCAGCCACCUCCUCCAGGAAGUUUUGUUGGUGCUCCGGUUCAAUCGGGACCAUCAACAAUUACUCCAACUUAUGCAUCUUAUGCCCCUCCAUCUGGCCCUAGCAUGUAUAAUCCAGUUUCAGGUCAAACAAUAGCUCCUUAUGGCGUGCAGUUUCCCCCUCCACCGCAGGUUCCUGCACCACCUACACCUCCUGCACCUCCUGGUUCUACUGAUGCAACCGACAGUACUCGUGGAGUACCGGCACAGAGUACCACUGCAGCUACCCCUUCUGUGCCUGCUCCUAUGUAUGGUGUUCCAUAUAGUGCUUCUAGCGUAGGAAUGGUUCUCCCUAUUCCUCAGCCAUAUCAAACAUCUUAUGUCUAUCCACCUUAUUUUAACCCCAUGCCUACCUUGCAACCCCCAACUUUUGAUGCCACUCAGAGUGUAGCAAAUGCCACAUGGUUCUCAAAUCCACCUGCUCCUCAACCUGAUUUAAGUCUUUCAAAUGUUCAUUGGACCAAAGACCAACCAACUUCUCAACCCGAGGCUGUAUCAAAUUUACCAUGGGCUGCAAAUCCAUCUUCAUCUGCAAAACAGUAUAACACAAUUAAUGGCGCUGAUACCGAGUACGAGAAGUUUGUUUCUGAGAUGCAGUGAAACCAAUUUGCCAAGUUGCUGUUGUUUUGCAAGGUACUGCUUGAUAUUUCUAUCCAGUUUGUCAUUAUAUUAUAUUUAUGGUUCCCUUUUAUCUUUAUAUAUCUGAAUACAAUAUUAUUACUUUCUGAUUUUCAAAUUUGAAUGUUGGACUGAACUACUUAUUCCCAAGCAGGUCAACUGAUUAUGCUCUACACAUGAAAGCUUGAGGUUUCUUGGAGCUAGCAUGAACGAGACAUAUUUCAUCUUAACCUUGCUGUUAUGUGCAGAGAAUGGGAAGCUUGUGAGCUGAUUAUGUUGGAUAAUUUUGAUGUAUUUGAUUUCUACUGCUUAACCACGCUUUUGAAUCAUAGGACAUGAAUUAAAAGCCUCAUGGAGUCAUCAACGACCGGAUAGUGUUUUCUUCUCUGUUGGCUAUACUGUCGAACUAUUUUAAAAAAGCUGAAAAUUUUGUGCUAUGUCGUUAUUUUCUAGAACAAGUACUUUGUUUUAGGUUUAUAUGGUCUUUUCAUUUUUUUUCUAAUUCCGGUUUGACUUGUUUUUGUUUGGUGUCUACUUUUUUGGUCUAAGCAUCGAAUCUGAUUGUUAUUGGCAACCUCGAAAUGGCGGUACUGGCCUUCUUGCGAUGAUGUGGGUGAGACUGUUUUGAUACCAAUUGGUUUGGUGACACUAAUUUAUUUCCCUGGUUAUGCUACUAGUUCUUGCGGCUAACACUCCUCCCAAGAUUGUUUUCUGCAGGUUUGGCGACAAAUGCUUAAACUGCUUUUUGUUGAUUUACCUUGGAACAAUAAAAAUCUCAUCAGUUGUUUAUGGGGCUUCUUGAUUAUUCCAUUCUUUUCUCACACAGAUUUCCUUGGCUUUCUUUUGCUAACUUAAGUUUCUCUAGUUUUUCCUCUUUGCUCAUGCAUUCUCCUAUAAUUUCCUGUUUUCUGCUCAUUUUUUUCCGGACAAAUGCUGGUUUUUUAUUUAUUUUAUAAUGCGACCAUUAACCAUCCCUACAACAGCAACAUUAGCAUCAACCUGAUGGGGAUUUCGUAUUGGAAGAUCAUUAUUCUUGUUGAAAGGGGCAUCUCACUGACCGUCAAAAUGAAGUGUAAUUAUGUUUACUAUUUAGUCUUUUGCAUGUACAGCUUCUCAGUUAAUAGGAGAAAACAGGUACAAAAUGACAGGAAAUCAUUCCAACUCAUCAAAUAAUAUGAACUUGCUUGUGCAUACCGUAUCACCCAGCUUGACCCACUGCAAAGAUGGCGCUACUUAGAAUUAAGUCUUGUAAAUCUAUGGUGUGGGGGUUAAGAUUUACUUGUGAGGGGAAUUUUUAGUGAGUUUGAAUUGCUUAGAGCUCUAGAUGCAUUGAGAAAUAUUCUCUCUCUCUCUCUCUAAUAUUAGAAAUUCUCUUCCUCUAGAUUGGACAUUCAUGAGUAGAUGUUCUUAAUGAAACGCAAAUGUUGUGCUUGACAAAGAGAACCUAUUCUUUUACACUGUUUCUGACGAUUUAUUUGUCUUAGUCAAGUGAUAAUGCCACUUAUUAAGGUGAGCUUCUCCACUAUCAAUUACUAAGUUUAAACCUAAGUUAGAAACAUGAUUUAGAGAGAUUCAACAAGGGAGAUUCAACCCCGGUCCAAAAAGAGCGUGCGGCUAGCUUUGAUCUGUAGGGAGUUGGUAUGUUGUUAUUUGAUUUUUUUUUAAAAUUGCAUUCUAUGUCAGUGCAUUAUAUUCUAUAAUACAAUAUUUUAGAAUCACAAUCCUCCAUGAGUACCUUGGUUUUUAUGCCAUUGCAACUCGUUUUAGUUGUACAUUUUAUUCUUCGGGUUAUUCUUGCCCCUUAGAUGGUAAAUACUAAUACAUUCCCUUGUACAAAUUCAGUUGAUUUUUCAUGAUUAGUUUAAGAUGAUCUGGCAUCUUUUGUUAUGAAGAUUAUCAAGAUUGAAAUAAAACAUUGGGAUACUACUCUUAUAUUAACUUUUGGGUUCGUUUGGGACAGAUUUCUUACUACAUUUUAAAGCAACUUUUUAGUAUAAAUUUUUUUUAAACUAGAAAUUUUUGUACUAAAAAGUUGUUUUAAAAAGUAGUAAAAAAGCUGUCCCAAACGAGCCCUUUCUGGAUUUGUUGUGGUCCAUUGGCAUAGUUUCUCAUUAUAGAUUUUUGUUGCUGUUUAAAAGAUUUAUAUUUCUGCAUUUGACCAUGUAAAUCUGAAAUGCAUGCGUACACGCACCAAUUGCCUAAUAUUUGGGCUUUUAUCUAGGUUUUUGGGGCUGCUGGAAAAGCAUACCGGUUGGCUAGCAGUCCAUAAAACAAGUGCUGCCAAAUGUAUUGAUUUAUUUUUUGAAGGUUCUCUCGUAUUCUAUAUCUUUAGGUUAUAUUCUAGCUAGAAUCUUUCGUAUUACUUUCGCAUGUGGGAUAAGUAUUAUAUUCAGGUAUGUCUUACUUUAUCAACUAGGAGGAUUUCCAUUUAAUUUCAUUAAGGAUGCGAUCUAAAUCUCCCUUUUUUAGCUUAGAUUUUUGUUCACAAUACUAAUUUUAUCAAAUCUUAUCAGAACGAUGUUGUACAUAGAGAAUAUCAAGCAGUUGUGGUUGGAUUGGCUGGUUCAGUGAUCUGCACAACAAAUUGAUUGAAUCUGAUAUAUUUUCAGACAUGCGUUGUACUAAAGAAAUUCCAAAUUGUUUUGCCAAGUCUUUCAUCACUAUGAGUGGGUUGAUGGUUAUAGCUUGCUUGGUCAACCUAAAUUGAAAUCAUGCAUGCUAAGGAUCCUUCAUUUUAAGGGGAUAGAGCUUCAAUAUUAUGAGUAAUUUCUGCCCGAACAUGCAAUUUAGUAUUCAUUCUUUCAUUAUACUUUUAAAAAAUGAAUCAAACACUUGUAUUGAUAUAACCGGGAAGAUUUUAAGCGCCUUUUAUUA